rnacentral:lncRNA from 1 species
UUUUAAUGUUUGAAUAAAGGAGUGAAAGCAAUAAAAAAAAAUUCUGCUUUUAGUUGUCACUUAGUAAAUUCAUUCAUUAUUUAUAACAGGAAGACAAAAUUAGAGGCCUGGCAUAACUCUACAGGCUCAGGUGUAAGCCAAACACACACACACACACACACACACACACACACACAACCUAAUCAGAGUUUUUUAGAAAUUCAGUCUUAGAAAUAAGAUAGGAUGGAUGUGAGGGCAAUCUGACUGCGACAUCUGCCACCCAUUGAUCACCAGGGAUGAUUUGGUUGAUCUGGCUGGCUAGGCGGGUGUCCCCUUCCACCCUCACUGCUCCAUGUGUGUCCCUGCUGAAGCCGCACACUUGGUCGAAGAGGACAACCAUCCCCAGUAGAGGAGGACCAGUCUUCAGUCAAGGGUAUACGAAUAGCUGCGCUCCCCUGCUAGAACCUCCAAAGAAAUAGGAUAGGAUUUUGUGAUGGUUAUGUACCAUCUCUUGACCAUAAAAAGUCCUACUCUCUACAUGCUGUAUUAUUGAAAGCAUCAGAAAAGCAUCCAAACACUUGGGAAUCAUAUGGCUCAUCUUUUCAAAUCAAGGCAAAUAAGAACAAGAAACAAACCCAGGAUUAGUACACUAUAACCACUGCCCCAGACAGGUUUAAAGUUUCAACCAAGUUUGGUGGGAAACCAUGCUUGGUCUGUUUUUUUUUAAAGAAAAUUAUAACUCUGGUGCUCAAUUAUGGAUGUUUGAAAACUGAAGCUGAAUCACACACAUCUAUAUUCUGGGAUCAUUUUCCCAAUAUGUGAAGAGUUCAAAAGUUCAGAUCGAAGCCGGGUGGGAUUGCUCACGCCUGUAAUCCUAGUACUUUGGGAGGCCGAGGCAGGAGGAUCACUUGGGGUCAGGAGUUCAAGACCAGCCUGACCAACAUGGUGAAACCCCAUCUUUACUAAAAAAUACAAAAAUUAG